rnacentral:rRNA from 1 species
UACGUAGGGGGCUAGCGUUGUCCGGAAUCAUUGGGCGUAAAGCGCGUGUAGGCGGUCCGGUAAGUCCGCUGUGAAAGUCGGGGGCUCAACCCUCGAAUGCCGGUGGAUACUGUCGGGCUAGAGUGCGGAAGAGGCGAGUGGAAUUCCUGGUGUAGCGGUGAAAUGCGUUGAUAUCAGAAGGAACGCCGGUGGCGAAAGCGAAGGACUGGACCUCUUCUGACGCUGAGGCGCGAAAGCUAGGGGAGCAAACGGG